AUGCCGGCCCAGAGUGGACACGACCUCUCAUGUCGCUCCGGCACUGAAGUGGCGCUUCAGCCGAGAGCGCCGCUCAAGCCGCUUCUCGUUGCACGCGACUGCUCCGCGUUCAAACGACAGUUCGUCCGUCCGCCUUCCUACAUUAAACAUAUGCGGGUGCCGAGGAACUUGCUUCGCCGACACCUGUUAGUAUGUCUGCUACCUACCAUUAACCACCUCGCUGCAUGCCCUGCCAUCCGCCCGCUAUAUAAACUCCAGGCUCAGCAACAGCCGCAUCCAACCUCCUGCGUUCCCUAUCUCCUCUCGGCAGCACGUCCGACAUGGCCUCCUCGAGCUCCAAAGACCUCUAGGACAGCCUCUCGUUCGAGCAGACGAAGGAGAUCAUCGCCAUUGCAGUCGGCUAGCAGAUCGGCAGACGGACGAGCUCACUGGAGGCCAGCGUUGUGGACGCCCCAAUGGAAGAGGGGUCGACGAUGA
rnacentral:rRNA from 1 species